ACCCGGCCGUCGGGGCAA
rnacentral:snRNA from 1 species